rnacentral:rRNA from 1 species
AUACGGAGGGGGCUAGCGUUGUUCGGAAUUACUGGGCGUAAAGCGCACGUAGGCGGCUUUGUAAGUUAGAGGUGAAAGCCUGGAGCUCAACUCCAGAACUGCCUUUAAGACUGCAUCGCUUGAAUCCAGGAGAGGUGAGUGGAAUUCCGAGUGUAGAGGUGAAAUUCGUAGAUAUUCGGAAGAACACCAGUGGCGAAGGCGGCUCACUGGACUGGUAUUGACGCUGAGGUGCGAAAGCGUGGGGAGCAAACAGGAUUAGAAACCCUAGUAGUCC